rnacentral:rRNA from 1 species
AAAUUGAAGAGUUUGAUCAUGGCUCAGAUUGAACGCUGGCGGCAGGCCUAACACAUGCAAGUCGAACGGUAACAGGAAACAGCUUGCUGUUUCGCUGACGAGUGGCGGACGGGUGAGUAAUGUCUGGGAAACUGCCUGAUGGAGGGGGAUAACUACUGGAAACGGUAGCUAAUACCGCAUAACGUCGCAAGACCAAAGAGGGGGACCUUCGGGCCUCUUGCCAUCGGAUGUGCCCAGAUGGGAUUAGCUAGUAGGUGGGGUAAAGGCUCACCUAGGCGACGAUCCCUAGCUGGUCUGAGAGGAUGACCAGCCACACUGGAACUGAGACACGGUCCAGACUCCUACGGGAG